rnacentral:lncRNA from 1 species
GACCGUCGAAAUUAGAGACAGAUCAAUGGUUGUGGUAAAAGCCCGUCACUUAUCUAUUUUAUAAGGAAACUAGACUUUUAUGAUUGAGUUAAGAGAUAACUAAUUUAGUUAAAAAUGGAAAAGAAUAGUUAUAGAAAGCGGGUGAGUAGAAGAAUGUGUCUUACGUAUAAUAAAUAAAAUGAAAUGUGUCAUAGAGCGAAAAUAUUUCUAUUUAAAAUCACCCAUUUUAAAAAGGAAAAUAAAUACUGCAUAGUAAUUUUUGUAAGGCAGAUACAGUAGGUUUAACUAUUUAAAACAACUAAGUGGCAGACAAGCUUCCCACUUUAGCACACA